rnacentral:rRNA from 1 species
GAUGAACGCUGGCGGCGUGCCUAAUACAUGCAAGUCGAGCGAACAGACGAGGAGCUUGCUCCUCUGACGUUAGCGGCGGACGGGUGAGUAACACGUGGAUAACCUACCUAUAAGACUGGGAUAACUUCGGGAAACCGGAGCUAAUACCGGAUAACAUGUUGAACCGCAUGGUUCAACAGUGAAAGACGGUCUUGCUGUCACUUAUAGAUGGAUCCGCGCCGCAUUAGCUAGUUGGUAAGGUAACGGCUUACCAAGGCAACGAUGCGUAGCCGACCUGAGAGGGUGAUCGGCCACACUGGAACUGAGACACGGUCCAGACUCCUACGGGAGGCAGCAGUAGGGAAUCUUCCGCAAUGGGCGAAAGCCUGACGGAGCAACGCCGCGUGAGUGAAGAAGGUCUUCGGAUCGUAAAACUCUGUUAUUAGGGAAGAACAAAUGUGUAAGUAACUAUGCACGUCUUGACGGUACCGAAUCAGAAAGCCACGGCUAACUACGU